rnacentral:autocatalytically_spliced_intron from 1 species
GAAAUCAUCUUUCUAAUGAAGGAUUGAUUAAAAUAAUCAAAAUUGCAGAAAAUAUGAAUGUUAAAAAAGAUCGAAGUGAAUUAAUUAGAAUCCUCAGAGAACACAUGCCGAACAUUGAAUAAAUUUCAAUGAAGAUAUGUUCCCGACUGCAUAGCGAUGUGCAG